GGGCUUUGGACUUGACCGAAUCGAAGAGAUUCUGAUUCUAGAUAACUGUGGAAUCGAUCCCCUGCUGCCGAAUGGGUAUAUCUCUCUCGCAUAUUAACCGAAAUUCCGCCAUUCGAGUUCAUACACUGUUCUCUCCUUCGCUCUGCAUCUGCAUCUAUGUGAAAAAUUUGUAUUCUGCCUGCGAAUUUGUGGAUCUCUGAUGAAAGGGUUUCAAUUGAAGAGAGGAAUUAUUUAUCCCGCCAUUUUGUUUUGCUUCGCUUCAAAUAGUUGUACUUUUCUUCUUCAAUUUUUACUCGCUUUUUUUCCUCCCUCUUGUUGUACAUGUUCCCCUA
rnacentral:lncRNA from 1 species